rnacentral:rRNA from 1 species
GACGAACGCUGGCGGCGUGCUUAACACAUGCAAGUCGAACGAACAGCGGUGGAAGUUUGCUUCUAUCCGUCUUAGUGGCGCACGGGUGAGUAACGCGGAAUCAACCUGCCCUUCAGAGGGGUACAACAGGUGGAAACGACUGCUAAUACCGCAUACGAUCUAAUCUCGUCAUCGAGUAUUGAUGGAAGGUUGCGUUUACAUGUAAGCUAUCACUCAAGGCGGAGAUUGCGUCUGAUUAGCUAAGUGGUGAGGUAACGGACUAACAAGGGGAACAUCAGUAGCCGGUCCGGGAGGAGGGACGGCCAAAACGGGAACGGAGCAACGCCCAGGAUUCUACGGGAGGGAGCAGGGGGGAAGCUUUCGCAAUGGAGGAAAGUCUGAAGGGGCAACGGCGGGGGGGGGAUGACGGCCUUCGGGUUGGAAAGAUCUGUUAAUCGGGACGAAAGGACUGCUUGCGAAUAGUGGGAAGGAUUGACGGUACCGGAACAGAAAGCCACGGCUAACUACGUG